UACGGAGGGUGCGAGCGUUGUCCGGAAUCACUGGGCGUAAAGGGCGCGUAGGCGGCUCGGUAAGCGUGUGGUGAAAGCCUGGGGCUCAACCCCGGGUCGGCCAUGCGAACUGUCGAGCUGGAGCACUGUAGAGGCAGGCGGAAUUCCGGGUGUAGCGGUGGAAUGCGUAGAGAUCCGGAAGAACACCGGUGGCGAAGGCGGCCAUCUGGACCGUUUCUGACGCUGAGGCGCGAAAGCGUGGGGAGCAAACAGG
rnacentral:rRNA from 1 species